GCUGAGAUGUCCGAGCGGUCUAAGGAGCUGGAUUCAAGUCUUCAGAUCUACUGAGAAUACUUACAUGUCCAGAACACGUGUGCAUCCUAGUAGAGAAAUCUGCGGGGGUUCGAAUCCCCCUCUCAGCA
rnacentral:tRNA from 1 species